rnacentral:tRNA from 1 species
GGAGACGUGCCAGAGUGGUUGAAUGGGCCGGUCUUGAAAACCGUUAGGGUGUCAAAGCCCUCGUGGGUUCGAAUCCCACCGUCUCCU